rnacentral:rRNA from 1 species
UACGUAGGGGGCAAGCGUUGUCCGGAUUUAUUGGGCGUAAAGAGCUCGUAGGCGGCUUACCAAGUCGGGUGUGAAACCUCCAGGCUCAACCUGGAGCUGCCACUCGAUACUGGUAUGGCUUGAGUCCGGUAGGGGACCACGGAACUCCUGGUGUAGCGGUGGAAUGCGCAGAUAUCAGGAAGAACACCGGUGGCGAAGGCGGCUCUCUGGGCCUUACCUGACGCUGAGGAGCGAAAGCGUGGUAGCGAACAGG